CCUACGGGUGGCAGCAGUGAGGAAUAUUGGUCAAUGGGCGGAAGCCUGAACCAGCCAAGUCGCGUGAGGGAAUAAGGCCCUACGGGUCGUAAACCUCUUUUGCCGGGGAGCAAGGGCGGGGACGUGUCCCGGCCCGGAAAGUACCCGGAGAAAAAGCAUCGGCUAACUACGUGCCAGCAGCCGCGGUAAUACGGGGUAUGCGAGCGUUAUCCGGAUUUAUUUGGUUUGAAGGGUGCGUAGGCGGGCUUUUAAGUAAGCGGUAAAAAUUAGGGGCUUAACCACGGCCGGCCGUUGAAACUGGGGGCCUGGAGUGGGCGAGAAGAAGGCGGAAUGCGUGGUGUAGCGGUGAAAUGCAUAGA
rnacentral:rRNA from 1 species